ensembl:snRNA U2 U2 spliceosomal RNA
UGUGCUUCUCAGCCUUCUGGCUAAGAUCAAGUGUAGUAUCUGUCCUUAUCAGUUUAAUUUUUGUCUCUCAUUAUUAAAAUACAAUCUAUAUAAGAAAUUUCUUUUUUUUCUCUGCCAUAUAGGACCUAGA